AUUGAACGCUAGCGGGAUGCCUUACACAUGCAAGUCGAACGGAGUGGCGAACGGGUGAGUACUGUAUCGGAACGUGCCCAGUAGCGGGGGAUAACUACGCGAAAGCGUAGCUAAUACCGCAUACUUUUGGAGCGGCCGAUAUCGGAUUAGCUAGUUGGUGGGGUAACGGCUCACCAAGGCGACGAUCCCUCGCCGGUUUGAGAGGACGAACAGCCACACUGGGACUGAGACACGGCCCAGACUCCUACGGGAGGCAGCAGUGGGGAAUAUUGCACAAUGGGGGAAAGCCUGAUGCAGCCAUCCCGCGUGUGCGAAGAAGGCCUUCGGGUUGUAAAGCACUUUCAGCAGGAAGGCGGUACCUGCAGAAUAAGCACCGGCUAACUACGUGCCAGCAGCCGCGGUAAUAC
rnacentral:rRNA from 1 species